UGGGAUGUAAUUAGUGAGUCACCAGGUGAAGGUGUUACAGAAGGGAGAGCAAAAACCUAUAAAAACAGGACUCACAGGCUGCCUGGGUUUGGGAGGAGGUGAGAAGAUGCGCCCUAGGAAGCUGCAUGGCCUGAUUUGAGGUCUUGCGAAGGACAGCAAGGCCUGCACCACGGACCCAGGCAGAUUUCCCUCGCGGGGUGAGCGGAUCCAGUUUCAUUGCUAAUGGGUUUCCCAGGAUUUGCAGAUGUGAAUUGCUCGCAUUCCUGACUCCAAGGUUCAACCUGCCUUUCUGUCCAAAGCAAGCUGGUCUCCCACCUUGGGUCCUUGCUUUAAAAAGGUAUGGUGGAAGGAGGACCUGCGUGUCUAUGCUGAAAUGAAAAUCUUUGAGAAGUUGUUCAGUCUUGAGACAGUGGAUUUGUGUAGAAGAUGAGUUGUGGUAAAAUAGCUGCAAAUUAAGCACACAUCCAACAAGUCUGGAGGACAGUGAGUCUGAGGAACCAAGCAGAUGGGCUCAAGAAAGCUCUGAGUGUUCAAGUGGCACCAGGGAUGUGCCCACACAAACAUCUCAGUAGGUUCUUCCUGAGCUAAUGCAAUCCCAGAGGCAUGUCCUAGAUUCGUGUGAGUGGGGCAUGAGUCAAAACCCUGAAGGGUAUUUGAGCAGCUGAGCUCCCAUAAGAUCUGAGCACCCUUUUGACCUCUACUGAAAAGAUCAGAGCCAAGUUUUCCCUUGCGUUCAGAGACUUGUAAAGGCUGAAUGCCCUAAAAUCAAUGUUACUAGUGGGAACAUGGAAAUUAAUUGUGUCAAUCUAUCACUCAUCUUCCCCUAUUACAUUCAGUGAUUGGAACUUGGCCUCCAGUGCAUGAACAAAGUGUCUUCUGUGACAAGUAACUGCUGCGCAGGAGGUGGCUGCAUGGCUGAGUGGUGGAGAGGGCAGGACAAAAUAAAAGUUUGGGUUCAACAUC
rnacentral:lncRNA from 1 species